AUUCAGCUGAUAAGUCCUAAAUAGGACGAAACGCGCAUCUUGGAU
rnacentral:hammerhead_ribozyme from 1 species